UUCCUUUAGCGGCUUCCAAGGUCCAGGGACAGGGGGUCUGGGCCACCAAGAGGCUCUGCUAGGCUGUCCCUGCAGCCACAGCCACCCCACUGGACCCCUGCCUCCCAUCUGAGAGGACAGCCCUCUUCCUGGAGCUGGGAUCUGACACUUGCUGAUACCAACGGCAGAUACCAGGUAACGAGAUGUGAGCAGAAACAACCUGUGUCACACCUGGGCAGAAGCUUUAAAGGCCAGUGCUGCCCUUGUUGGGGAAGCAAGUAUAGAUAUGAAUCGUUCCACAACGCGGAGCGCCCCCUGCCGACCCAUGCUGGGCGUGUACUAUAGCUCAUGGAAUCUUCACAACAACCAAGGCUCAUUUGAUGGGUGAAGAAACUGAGGACCAGAGAAGUGAAGCAAAGCACCAUCAUCAUAGAGCUUCAAGGGGCAGAGCCACAUCACCAAACUGUCUCCGACAAUGGCCUCUGAUCUGUCCUCAAGCUGAUGCUAUUGGUCAAAGGGACUAGGCCUACAUAGCUAGGAAAAAUUAGGCUCACCUGGCACUUAAAAACAGAUAUACAGUAUUGCCCUGAUGGAAGAUUGUUGACAUCCCCUAUCUCUUCACUUGUCCUGUUUAGAGCACUUGAAGAUGCUGCUAUUCCAGGCUACCUCAGCCCACCCCUUCUUAUCCAUCCAUUCAUCCAUCUUUUCAUCAACCCACUCAUCACAUCAUUUGUCCAUCCAUCCUUCCCCUAACCACCUACCCAUCUAUCCAGCUACUUAUUCAUCCAUUUAUCACAUGCACCUACAUAUCUUUCCAUCCAUCUACUUACCCAUCCAUGCAUCAUCCUCCACACCCAACCAUCCACCCAUAACAUCUUUUUAUUAAUCCAUCCACCCAUCUAUCCACCCAGCCAUCUCCCCAGUUACUCAUUCAUUUGUCUCAUCCAUCCAGCUAUUUCUCCCUCUAUUCCAUUCAUGCAUCCCUCCACCCAUCUAUCACAUCCAUUCAUCACAUCACAUUCAUUCAUCAGUCCAUUCACCUAUCCACCCACCUAAACAUACAUUUAUUCAUCCAUCCAUCUUCCCAUUCAUUCAUCCACUUAAUUAAUCUUCAAUCAAGGUCUACAUGGGAUCAGGCCCUGUGGAAGGCUGGACUAUAACAAAAAGAAUGAGAUAGAUACAGACCUUUCCUUUAAGGAGAUUCGAGGUACUUACGGAAAUGAGCAACUACCAAAGAAGCAAAAUAAAUAACCAAGGGAAACUUGUUAAAGGGAAAAUAAGGGUAGAAAAGUAAUAAGGCCAGGAGUCAGGUUAGCACACAGAUAUGCAUGUUUAGCAUCUCAUCCUCAGAGUUACUCAGGGUAGUACCAGAUUGGCACUGAGCAAGAUCCUGGCACUCAAAGCAGAACAACACAAGAGUCACAGUCUACUCUACUCCAUUGUGGUAGACACUCCCCAGAACUACCUUGUUCUCCUAUAACACAGUGGGGUUAUAUGUGCCCCAGGGUACAUUUGGCUUUCUGGAGACAUUUUUUCUUUGGCAAAACUGAUGGGAAGAGAUGUUACUGGCAUCUGGGGAGUAAAGGCCAGGGAUGCUGCUUAACAUCCUACAGUGCACAGGACAGCCCCUCACCACAGAGAAUCUUCCAGGCCAGAAAGUUAACAGUGCUGAGGCUGAGAAACUCAUUUAUACCAGAGCCUCAGUUCUGUUUGGAGCAGGAGUGUGCCACACCCCAAGAGAAAAAUCACUGGUCUAGGUCCAUCUUGGCUUUCCCAUCUCUUUCCACUACAUACUUGUCUUCCCAGCUUUCCUUGAACUAGGGGAGUCUGCCAGGAGGUUUCUGGGGAAGUUUUGCUUUUGGAUAAAAGAAACAAGGGCACUGAGGAAAACCUCUUCUCCUCCUGCCUCCAGCUUCAGACACGUAAGUGCAGACAUGACAGCUGAAGCUGGGACAGCCAGUUUGGGUUAUAAUGGGGCAAAUACAAGGACCAAAGACAACGCAGUGAGGAGGGCAGAGAGGAAGGAAGGCAAGAGAGUGGGAUCUGGCUGACAUUGAUGAUCAUCAUUGUAGCGCUGUUUUAAGCCCAUCAUUUCACUCAUCCAACAAAUGCUUAUUGAGCAUUUCUUCUGUGCCAGUCACCAUGUGAGACAUAGUGAGACAAACAAGGCUGAACAAACUACCCAGGUCCCAGAACUCACGGAGUUUAUAGUCUGGUGGGGCAGCCAGACACCACAAUUCACACCAGCAACUAUCUGAUCAGAGCGAUGACGAGAACCGCAAAGCCAAAACCAGUGUGCCGUGGAAGCACCGGAAGUCCAGGGAGGGCCAAGUCCACCCAGCAUCACCACACCAAAGAGCAGCUCUUUAGAAUCCUGCUAAAGCUCAAAAACAUGAAACCACAACGAGGAUUUCUUGCGUGCUUGCUCUGGACCCAGGACUGUUCUAAGCACUCAUGGAUCCUUCCAUUUGAUCCUCACAACAGCCAUGUCUUCCUCUGCCUCUAACUGAGGCUCUGCUAUGUGCCAUGUCCCUGACCCACCAAUGCACCUCUACUAUAGUCAUCUUAGGAGAUGAUUAAUGUUAUCCCCAUUAGAGAACCCCAGAAGAAGAUUUUUUGUUUGUUUUUUGUUUUUUUGUUUUGUUUUGUUUUUUUUGAGAUAGAGUCUUGUUCUGCUGCCCAAGCUGGAGUGGCAGUGGCAUGAUCUCAGCUUAAUGCAACCUCUACCUCCCAGGUUCAAGUGAGUCUCAUGCCUCAGCCUCCCAAGUAGCUGGAAUUACAGGCGUGUGCCAUCAUACCCGGCUAGUUUUUGUAUUUUUAGUAGAGACGGGGUUUUGCCAUGUUGGCCAGGCUGGUCUCGAACUCCUAAUCUCAAGUUAUCUGCCCGCCUCAGCCUCCCAAAGUGCUGGGAUUACAGGCGUGAGCCACUGCACCCAGCCUGGGAGAGGGGUUUUGUUUCCUCGGAGCACUUGUUUCUUUUCUCAGAAAGCAAAUUUUUCUUUUCUUUUUUUUUUUUUUCUGGAGCCUUCCAGCAGACUUCAGUAGCUCAUUUUACAGAUAAAACAUGUGAAGCUCAGAGAGGGGUAAUGAUUUGACUCACAAGACCACACAGUUUUUUGUUUUGUUUUUUUUUUUUAAAUAAGGUAGAUCUAGGAUGCUAACCCAGGUGUAUUUUAUCAAAAAUAUCAAAUCAGGGUCUUUCAGCCACUCUCACACACAUACACAUAGGCACACAUACACUGCAGUGAAUGUUCCACUGCCCCAGGACAAAAGUGCUCAUUUUUUGUGGAUGUACUGCAAGGUCACUGGAGUUCUCCUUUCUCUGUCCAGCCAUAUCUGUGGCCUAGAGCAGAGGGCCAGCAACAGCUGGAUUGUGUCAAGUCUCGAGUCAGAUGACAUUUUUUGUUUGUUUGUGUUUUUUUUUUAAUCUUGAACCUUAGUUUUUUCUUCUGUCCUUGGAGAUUACAAUAUUAUUUAUCUCAGACAGCCGUUUGGAAAAUGAAACAGCUGUCUGAGAGAUAAUAGUAGAACAUUCACUAACCCAUUCAUCCAUCCAUUCACCCACCUACCUGUCGAUAGAAGCAACCAUUCUAAUAAUUGCUGAAUGUUUGCUAUAUAAUGAGUAUGACACAGGAGCAGAGAUGAAGAGACAUGAGGACAUCCUACAAGGUGCAGAGACGUGGGAGACAGUGAAAGGCUGUCAGGUUAUAUUAUUGUAUCAUCCUUUAAGAGACACUGUGGGGCCUUCUGUUCACCCCUAGCUUAGCCUUAUGACCUGGGCUGUCCUUCCCCAGAAGCUGUCUGGCCCCUUUGAGAGACAAUGUCUUCCCCUAGCCACAGGUUCAACCAAGUCAUCCAUUGGCAUCUAUACUCCAGGUCUUAAAAUUGUGGAUUAAGGGUGGCCUCACCCUUAAUCUCCUCUAUGCUAUCUCCUCUAAUCUCCCCGCUCUCUGGGAGAUAGGUCCUGUUGUUAUCUUCAUUUUACAGAUGAGGAAAUAGGUUCAGAGAGGGGAAAUGUCUUGCCCAAGGUCACACAGCUGGUGUGUGGGAUGGGUUCCCAGGCUGUUGGUUUCUUCAGCCUCUGCCAUUUCCAGUGCAUCACAUAUUCCUGUUUGAUGGGGGUCAAAGCAAAGAAGAUUCUUCCUGACUAGAGUCAGGAGAUCAGGCCCUGAUUCUGUCAUUCCCUGGCCCUCUGUCCUCAGCAAUUGAUGACAUAAAUGUUGAUUGUGUCUUUGCAAUGCACGUGGUAUCAAGGGCUUUACAUCCUUGUUCCCCACGGCAUCCACCAUGAUCUUAAGACACAUCCUAGUCCUGUCUCCACUUCAGAAAGAAAGCAAGAGGCACGUGAAUGUUGAGCCGUGUGACAGAGUCACAACUAGACCCCGAGGUCUGCUGGAUUCCAGAGACCAAGUUCUGUGCGGGUGUGUGAUUUGAACAGGUUUAUAAAAGGCACCCAACUUUUAAAAAAUCCAAAAUGUGUCCCCAAAAGAUAAAACAUUCUCUUGAAUUUCCCUCCUCAGAAACAAACCUGUCACCAAUUUUAUUGUGUCAUUCCACGAAUUUUCUAUGCGUGGAAUGUACACGUAUACGCGUGUGUACAUAUAUACAUCUAUAUCCGUUUCGCUAUCAGCAACUACACAGUUCUUCAGUGUACCGUUUUCACUUAAUUUAACUGAGAGGUUCUUCCCUGUCACACACAGAUGUGCGUUGUUUCCUUGAACAAUGGGAUAGCAUUCCACUGUAAAGACGUCUCACGCUUUAUUUACCCGUCUUCCCUCUGCUGAGGGACAUUGGGUUGCUUCCAAUGUGGGGGUCACCCUAAGGAGUGAGCCUGAGCCUUUCACUCUCAGUAACACAUGCUUUCUAGCCCUGCAUCUGAGUUUCACACGUCCGCACAAGAUAUUCUCAUUUUCCAACGCUCCACCCUGCGCGGCGCUUUCUACCUCCUCCCCAUUAUCCAGAGCCAACGGAGGUGCGGAGCGACCGAGCUGCCCGGUCCCACGCCCAGCUUGAUAAUGCACCAGCAACGUGACCUAGGCCCAGCAAGCCUCUCCUGGUGGACCUCAAUUUGCCCCGCAUCGAAACAGGACGGUGCUUCCAAGCCCCACCCUCUGUGGGGUUUUGGAAAGACCCCUGAGAUGCAUUCCCAGGAAGGCCUCUGGACAGACAAAAUGAGCCAAGCCUCUGCCCCAGGGCUUCUCGGCCCCUCCCAGCACUUCUCGCACCAAGCAGGCCAUGCCCCGGCUUGAGAGCUUAGGGAAGCGGUCACAUUGCCUCCGUGGGGCUUCCUGCCCUUCCAGAGGAGCUCCAGGAGGAGCUUUGGGCCCGUAAGAAACACACGGGGAGGUGUCCCAUGGCCUCCCAAAGCUGACCGCAGUCCCGCCCUGUCCAGUCUUCCCCCAGCCCCACUUACCGUAAGAACUCUCCACUGGAGCCCCGAGGGGCGCGUUCACGCUGACCAUGGCCAAGCCCACCCAGCCGGAGAGCUGGGGGCAUGGAGGAGCAGGGGCCCGCUCACAGCAGCAGCACAGCCACCAGGAGCCCGUCCACCAGGAAGGCGGUGAGUGCGGCCAGCUGCCACCGCCCGGUUAUCUUAUUGAUUCUUCUAAUCACCCAAGGUGGGUGGAUACGUUAAAGAGUA
rnacentral:lncRNA from 1 species